UCUGGGUGGAGGUCUGAGCUGGGCCCCGGCAGAGUCAGGGUGAACCGGGCAGUGCCCGUCCUGGUCACUCGGGGUGAAGGCUGUGCCCAGGAGCUGUGGUCAGGUGACAGCAGGUUCUGUCUCCCCUGCCCGGCUGCUGGUCGGGCGCCUGCACACAGGAGAUGCCUGCUGGAAAGCUUCUGGAUGAAAUGCACAAACAAAUCAUCAGAUCCAGGAGCUGAAUAUUGUAGGGGCCACAGAGAGGUCUGAGGGGCCCAGCCUGUGUGAUGGGGAGCCCUGGAGCUGUGCCAGCCCCCUGUCCUUUGCAGCCAUUGGGUGUUGGAGGAGCAGCCGCUCGGGAGAGUUUAAUGGCAGCCGAGACACCUGCGGGAGGGGGUCACCUCCAUCACCGCUGCUCGGGGAUGCUGGGUCCUGUUGAGCCCCAUCAACACCUGAGUCUCCAAGUCCCUUGUGGGAACGAUAGCAAUCAAGUUAGGAGUGCCUAAUUGGAUAAUUCAAUUGCUUUCCAGGGACAGCUGCUGUUUAAUUAAAGAGGACUGAAGACAGAACCAGGAAGCUGAGGGAGCCUGGCUCAAUUGUCUAGAGAGCCUGCAGCCACACAACAAGGUGGCUGGGGAUCGAAUGGUGGUGACAGUCCGUGCAUAAGCGAGUGGCAGAAACUCUGUCCUGGUGCCCACCCCCCACCAGAGGAGACGAUCUGGGGGAAGGACCCACGCUUUGGAGAGCCUGGAAAAAAAAAAAGAAGGCGAGAGAAGAAAAAGCAUGUGUGAGCAGCCAGGCAAGAAGACGUGAGCUGUGCGUGGUUCGUCUCCUUUGGGCGACGCCCAGCAAGGAGUCCUCGGCCACCUGCCCCUGCGUUUCUAGUCACAGGCCCCUCGCCGUCCCCUCUAAGAGAAAUGUCUCUAAUAAGGACCAUCAGUGUAACACAGAAAACUAUCUUCAGUAUCUUGCAGUAACCUAUAAUGGAAAAGAAUCGGAAAAAGAACAUAUACAUGCAUAACUGAAUCUCUUUGCUGUAUACCUGCAACUAACACACCGUUGUUCGUCAAUUAACUAUACUUAAAUUAGAAAAAGGAAAAUAAGUGCCGUAUGUGAUGCAUUAUCCUUUUUACUGUGAUCCCCCUCUCUCAACUUGGCAUGGUGUUCCGUAUUUGCUAUUAAAUGUAAUUCUCAGUUUAAAAAAAACUGUAAUAGCCCAAAAAAAGAGAGGAAUGUCUCUAAACCUGGCAUGGAUACCAGUCAAGGUCUCAGAUUUGCAAGAAAUUUUCUAGAAACUAUUCGGAUGCCUGGCUAGCUACCCCAUUAUCGAGGAUCCAAUGAGUUAAUGCACAGAAAAAUGCUUCAGAGUGCCUGGCAUAGGGCAAGGGCCAAAUUUUGUGCCAACUAAAAAGGACCAAGCACUUUCUCUGGCUCAAACGGACGGCCAGACCCUGCCUGUAUUAUCCCACUUAACAACCCCCGCCACCAUCCUAUCAGUCAAGCACUAACAUUACCCUCAUUUACAGACAGAGAAAUCAAUGGCUCAGAGAUGUUAAGUCAUUUGCCCGAAAUCACCCAAUGAGGAAGCAGAGAACCAAGGCCUGGAAUUUGGGCCUGUCCAACUCCUAAGUCUGCGCUC